rnacentral:rRNA from 1 species
CAGCCGCCACGGUAAUACGAAGGGUGCAAGCGUUAAUCGGAAUUACUGGGCGUAAAGCGUGCGUAGGCGGUUUGUUAAGUCUGUUGUGAAAUCCCCGGGCUCAACCUGGGAAUGGCAAUGGAUACUGGCAAGCUAGAGUAUGUCAGAGGAUGGUGGAAUUCCCGGUGUAGCGGUGAAAUGCGUAGAGAUCGGGAGGAACAUCAGUGGCGAAGGCGGCCAUCUGGGACAACACUGACGCUGAGGCACGAAAGCGUGGGGAGCAAACAGGAUUAGAUACCCCUGUAGUCCCUGUCUCUUAUAC